rnacentral:rRNA from 1 species
AUUGAACGCUGGCGGCAGGCCUAACACAUGCAAGUCGAGCGAGCGGCGGACGGGUGAGUAAUGUCUGGGAAACUGCCUGAUGGAGGGGGAUAACUACUGGAAACGGUAGCUAAUACCGCAUACCAUCAGAUGUGCCCAGAUGGGAUUAGCGAGUAGGGGGGGUAACGUCUCACCUAGGCGACGAUCCCUAGCUGGUCUGAGAGGAUGACCAGCCACACUGGAAGUGAGACACGGUCCAGAAUCCUACGGGAGGCAGCAGUGGGGAAUAUUGCACAAUGGGCGCAAGCCUGAUGCAGCCAUGCCGCGUGUGGUAAGAAGGCCUUCGGAUUGUAAAGCACUGUCAGCGGGGAGGCGUUACCCGCAGAAGAAGCACCGGCUAACUCCGUGCCAGCAGCCGCGGUAAUAC